GACGGGGGGUCCAAGCGUUGUUCGGAAUCAUUGGGCGUAAAGCGUGUGCAGGUGGUCUUGUAAGUUAGGUGUGAAAUCCCCGGGCUCAACUCGGGAAGUGCACUUAAAACUACAAGACUUGAGUAAGGAAGAGGGUCGUGGAAUUCCUGGUGUAGUGGUGAAAUACGUAGAUAUCAGGAGGAACACCGGUGGCGAAGGCGGCGACCUGGUCCUAUACUGACACUCAUACACGAAAGCGUGGGGAUCAAACAGG
rnacentral:rRNA from 1 species